rnacentral:rRNA from 1 species
GCUUGCACCUGAUUCCUACGGCGGACGGGUGAGUAAUGCUUAGGAAUCUGCCUAUUAUGGGGGACAACGUUCCGAAAGGGACGCUAAUACCGCAUACGUCCUACGGGAGAAAGCAGGGGAUCUUCGGACCUUGCGCUAAUAGAUGAGCCUAAGUCGGAUUAGCUAGUUGGUGGGGUAAAGGCCUACCAAGGCGACGAUCUGUAGCGGGUCUGAGAGGAUGAUCCGCC